UAAGUCUCAGUUCGGAUCGCAGGCUGCAACCCGCCUGCGUGAAGCCGGAAUUGCUAGUAAUCGCGGAUCAGCAUGCCGCGGUGAAUACGUUCCCGGGCCUUGUACACACCGCCCGUCACACCAUGAGAGCCGGGGGGACCCGAAGUCCGUAGCCUAACCGAAAGGGGGGCGCGGCCGAAGGUAAAACUGGUGAUUGGGGUGAAGUCGUAACAAGGUACC
rnacentral:rRNA from 1 species